rnacentral:tRNA from 1 species
GCAGCUGGUAUGUUCCGAGCGGCUACAUAGAGCGAUUUUGCUGAGGUUGGGGUCGUGGGUUCGAAUCCCAUUACCUGUA